AAUCCAUGGUGAGGACAAGAUCUAGUGUAUCCCUUUAACCUUUACCAUGCUUCAUAGAGAGCUUCAUUUGGACCUUGCUUAAAGCUUGUUAUGUUGUUUCUAAUCCG
rfam:Arabis alpina cultivar Pajares Aa.chr8_contig_3143, whole genome shotgun sequence.